rnacentral:rRNA from 1 species
UACGGGGGGGGCAAGCGUUGUUCGGAAUUACUGGGCGUAAAGAGCUCGUAGGCGGUUUGUCGCGUCGGAUGUGAAACCUCGGGGCUCAACCCCGAGCCUGCAUUCGAUACGGGCAGACUAGAGUUCGGUAGGGGAGACUGGAAUUCCUGGUGUAGCGGUGAAAUGCGCAGAUAUCAGGAGGAACACCAAUUGCGAAGGCAGCUCGCUGGGACGUAACUGACGCUGAGACGCGAAAGCGUGGGGAGCAAACAGG